rnacentral:rRNA from 1 species
UACUUUGGUGGCGACCGGCGCACGGGUGCGUAACGCGUAUGUAACCUACCUAUAACAGGGGCAUAACACUGAGAAAUUGGUACUAAUUCCCCAUAAUAUUCGGAGAGGCAUCUCUCCGGGUUGAAAACUCCGGUGGUUAUAGAUGGACAUGCGUUGUAUUAGCUAGUUGGUGAGGUAACGGCUCACCAAGGCAACGAUACAUAGGGGGACUGAGAGGUUAACCCCCCACACUGGUACUGAGACACGGACCAGACUCCUACGGGAGGCAGCAGUGAGGAAUAUUGGUCAAUGGACGCAAGUCUGAACCAGCCAUGCCGCGUGCAGGAAGACGGCUCUAUGAGUUGUAAACUGCUUUUGUACGAGGGUAAACUCACCUACGUGUAGGUGACUGAAAGUAUCGUACGAAUAAGGAUCGGCUAACUCCGUGCCAGCAGCCGCGGUAAUACGGAGGAUUCAAGCGUUAUCCGGAUUUAUUGGGUUUAAAGGGUGCGUAGGCGGUUUGAUAAGUUAGAGGUGAAAUCCCGGGGCUUAACUCCGGAACUGCCUCUAAUACUGUUAGACUAGAGAGUAGUUGCGGUAGGCGGAAUGUAUGGUGUAGCGGUGAAAUGCUUAGAGAUCAUACAGAACACCGAUUGCG